rnacentral:rRNA from 1 species
UGGGGAAUAUUGCACAAUGGGCGAAAGCCUGAUGCAGCAACGCCGCGUGAGGGACGACGGCCUUCGGGUUGUAAACCUCUUUUAGCAAGGAAGAAGCGAAAGUGACGGUACUUGCAGAAAAAGCGCCGGCUAACUACGUGCCAGCAGCCGCGGUAAUACGUAGGGCGCAAGCGUUAUCCGGAAUUAUUGGGCGUAAAGAGCUCGUAGGCGGUUUGUCGCGUCUGCUGUGAAAACCCGAGGCUCAACCUCGGGCCUGCAGUGGGUACGGGCAGACUAGAGUGCGGUAGGGGAGAUUGGAACUCCUGGUGUAGCGGUGGAAUGCGCAGAUAUCAGGGAGAACACCGAUGGCGAAGGCAGAUCUCUGGGCCGUAACUGACGCUGAGGAGCGAAAGGGUGGGGAGCAAACAGGCUUAGAUGACCCUGGUAGUCCACCCCGUAAACGUU